rnacentral:lncRNA from 1 species
CCCAGGCCUCCCGCUUACCAGGCAGGCGCUCCUCCGCCCAGCAACACCCCGACCCCCUGUUCUUCUCUGCUACCAGGAAUUGAACCAGGGGCGCUCAACCGGGGAGCCACGUCCCCAGCCUUUUCAUUGUUUGAGACAGGGUCUCAGUGGUUGCUUAGGGCCUUGCUAAAUUGCCGAGGCUGUCCUCCAACCUGCGAUCCUCCUGCCUCAGAGUCCUGAGUACCAGGAUUAUGGUCACGUGCCACCAUACUGUUGUUGUUGUUUUUUAAAGAGUGUAUGGCUUUUGUUUUGUUCUUUUGGAACUGGGGACUGAACCCUGCGGUGCUCUAUCACUGAGCUACAUCUCUAACCCUUUUUAUUUUAUUUACAGGCAGGAUCCUGCUAAAUUGUUGAGGCUGGCCUCAAACUUGGAAUCCUCCUGCCUCAGCCUCCUGUGUCACUGGAAUUAAAGUGCUCAUCACCACACCCAGCAAAGGAGUCAUUUUUCCGUUGUUUUUGUCUCUACAAGGCAAAUAAAUUUGAAAUGACCAAUCUAAAUAAACUAAGAUCUUUUUUCUUGCCAGGUGUGGUGGUGCAUGCCUGUGAUCCCAGCUACUCAGGAGGCUGAGUCAGGAGCAGGAGGAUUGAAGGUUCCAGGUCAGCCUGGGCGGUUUAGCAAGACCCUGUCAAAACAACAAGAAGUGCGGCGGGGUGAAGCUCAGGCAGUGUGCUCCAGGGUUCCAUCCCCGGUGCCCAGAGGCCGUGGGGUGAGGCACUGACUGCUGGCUGAUUUUUUUUCUGGACUCUUAUGAUUGACUGGUGAGCAACUAUGGACUGGUAAGUGCUUUCUUGGCUUAAUUGCCACUUUGCAAGAGAUGGG